GCUGGAUCCAAACAACACCCUGCGUCAAAAACUGCAAACCCUGCUUCAGUUCUUUCGGCACCAGCCAAUCCAGUCCCUGCCAGCCGGCUUGAAUGACGUCCCGCCUCCAACAACAAGUUUCGUGUUCGACUCAACGCGGACUAUUCAAUAAUUGUACAUGUCCAGAUAAAUUAUAAUAAGAAAGAGUAAGACCCCAAUAAAUAAAUAUGUUAACAUAAUAAUAACAAUUUUAAUAAUAAUAACGUUUUCUCUACGUGUAUGCCGUUGUUCUAUUAUAAUUAUGUUAGGAACUAUUUUCCUCAGCGGAAGGUUACCCGGCGAAAUAGCAGAAGAUCAAGAAUGCUUUGGGCGCGUGCAUUAGGCGGAUAUGGCACAAGGCGAUGUUGUUAUGCUUUUGGACUCCAAGGCUUAGGAGCUGUUCCGAGUACGUUUCCAGGCACAUCUAAAGGACUGAUUGGAAAAGCUAUAAAUGGAAAAAUGCAUAUUGUUAUUAAGCAAAGAAGGAGAUAAGUGCUAACAAAAGUUCACAAAAUGAAAACUUAUAAAACCGUUCAUUUUAGAAAGCUGUUAUGUACUAGCUGGCAAAAGUUUAAUUGUUGUGGUUAGCCCAUAAUAAAAAAAUAAAAAAAAACAACGUUUUUUUUGUAACCCAUUCUACCCAUUCUUUUGGUAAAAUUGUAAAAAAUGUUUUAUAUGUAACCAUGAAUAGUCAGGGCGGACAUUUCUUUUGAUUUCUCUGGGUGUG